UAGAGUUUGAUCCUGGCUCAGGAUGAACGCUAGCUACAGGCUUAACACAUGCAAGUCGAGGGGCAGCAUUAUCGGAGCUUGCUUUGAUAGAUGGCGACCGGCGCACGGGUGAGUAACGCGUAUCCAACCUUCCCCUUAGUAGAGGAUAGCCCGGCGAAAGUCGGAUUAAUACUCUAUGUUGUAUUUUGAGGACAUCUGACGAAUACCAAAGAUUUAUCGCUAAGGGAUGGGGAUGCGUCUGAUUAGCUUGUCGGCGGGGUAACGGCCCACCGAGGCAACGAUCAGUAGGGGUUCUGAGAGGAAGGUCCCCCACAUUGGUACUGAGACACGGACCAAACUCCUACGGGAGGCAGCAGUGAGGAAUAUUGGUCAAUGGGCGUAGGCCUGAACCAGCCAAGUAGCGUGCAGGAAGACUGCCCUAUGGGUUGUAAACUGCUUUUAUGCGGGAAUAAAGUCAGGUACGCGUACCUGUUUGCAUGUACCGCAUGAAUAAGGACCGGCUAAUUCCGUGCCAGCAGCCGCGGUAAUACGGAAGGUCCGGGCGUUAUCCGGAUUUAUUGGGUUUAAAGGGAGCGCAGGCGGAGGAUUAAGCGUGACGUGAAAUGUCCCGGCUCAACCGUGGAACUGCGUCGCGAACUGGUUUUCUUGAGUGAGUGCGACGUCGGCGGAAUUAUGUGGUGUAGCGGUGAAAUGCUUAGAUAUCACGAAGAACCCCGAUUGCGAAGGCAGCCGACGAGUCCUUAACUGACGCUAAAGCUCGAAAGUGCGGGUAUCGAACAGGAUUAGAUACCCUGGUAGUCCGCACGGUAAACGAUGGAUGCCCGCUGUCUGCGAUACACUGUAGGCGGCCAAGAGAAAUCGUUAAGCAUCCCACCUGGGGAGUACGCCGGCAACGGUGAAACUCAAAGGAAUUGACGGGGGCCCGCACAAGCGGAGGAACAUGUGGUUUAAUUCGAUGAUACGCGAGGAACCUUACCCAGACUCAAAUGCAGAUAGAAUUAUUCAGAGAUGGAUAAGCCCUUCGGGGCUAUUUGCAAGGUGCUGCAUGGUUGUCGUCAGCUCGUGCCGUGAGGUGUCAGGUUAAGUCCUAUAACGAGCGCAACCCUUACGUCCAGUUGCCAGCGGGUAAAGCCGGGGACUCUGGAGGGACUGCCGGCGCAAGCCGAGAGGAAGGUGGGGAUGACGUCAAAUCAGCACGGCCCUUACGUCUGGGGCGACACACGUGCUACAAUGGCCGGUACAGAGGGCAGCGAGCCUGUGAGGGUAAGCGAAUCUCGAAAGCCGGUCUCAGUUCGGAUCGGAGUCUGCAACUCGACUCCGUGAAGUUGGAUUCGCUAGUAAUCGCGCAUCAGCCAUGGCGCGGUGAAUACGUUCCCGGGCCUUGCACUCACCGCCCGUCA
rnacentral:rRNA from 1 species